rnacentral:rRNA from 1 species
GAGCUGCCGGCAGCUACACAUGCAGUCGAGCGGAUGAGGGUAGCUUGCUACCUGAUUCAGCGGCGGACGGGUGAGUAAUGCCUAGGAAUCUGCCCGGUAGUGGGGGACAACGUUUCGAAAGGAACGCUAAUACCGCAUACGUCCUACGGGAGAAAGUAGGGGAUCUUCGGACCUCACGCUAUCGGAUGAGCCUAGGUCGGAUUAGCUAGUUGGUGAGGUAAUGGCUCACCAAGGCGACGAUCCGUAACUGGUCUGAGAGGAUGAUCAGUCACACUGGAACUGAGACACGGUCCAGACUCCUACGGGAGGCAGCAGUGGGGAAUAUUGGACAAUGGGCGAAAGCCUGAUCCAGCCAUGCCGCGUGUGUGAAGAAGGUCUUCGGAUUGUAAAGCACUUUAAGUUGGGAGGAAGGGCAGUAAGUUAAUACCUUGCUGUUUUGACGUUACCAACAGAAUAAGCACCGGCUAACUUCGUGCCAGCAGCCGCGGUAAUACGAAGGGUGCAAGCGUUAAUCGGAAUUACUGGGCGUAAAGCGCGCGUAGGUGGUUCAGCAAGUUGGAUGUGAAAGCCCCGGGCUCAACCUGGGAACUGCAUCCAAAACUACUGAGCUAGAGUACGGUAGAGGGUGGUGGAAUUUCCUGUGUAGCGGUGAAAUGCGUAGAUAUAGGAAGGAACACCAGUGGCGAAGGCGACCACCUGGACUGAUACUGACACUGAGGUGCGAAAGCGUGGGGAGCAAACAGGAUUAGAUACCCUGGUAGUCCACGCCGUAAACGAUGUCAACUAGCUGUUGGGUUCCUUGAGAACUUAGUAGCGCAGCUAACGCGAUAAGUUGACCGCCUGGGGAGUACGGCCGCAAGGUUAAAACUCAAAUGAAUUGACGGGGGCCCGCACAAGCGGUGGAGCAUGUGUUUAAUUCGAAGCACGCGAGACCUUACCUGCCUUGACAUGCUGAGAACUUUCCAGAGAUGGAUUGUGCCUUCGGGACUCAGACACAGGUGCUGCAUGGCUGUC